CCUANGGGUGGCUGCAGUGAGGAAUAUUGCGCAAUGGGGGCAACCCUGACGCAGCAACGCCGCGUGAGUGAGGAAGGUUUUCGGACCGUAAAGCUCUGUCGAGCGGGAAGAAAUGCAUGGUGGCUAAUAUCCAUUAUGCUUGACGGUACCGCUAAAGGAAGCACCGGCUAACUCCGUGCCAGCAGCCGCGGUAAUACGGAGGGUGCAAGCGUUAAUCGGAAUUACUGGGCGUAAAGCGAGUGUAGGUGGCUGCAUAAGUCGGAUGUGAAAGCCCUGGGCUUAACCUGGGAAUGGCAUUCGAUACUGUGCGGCUAGAGUCUGAUAGAGGGAAGUGGAAUUCCAGGUGUAGCGGUGAAAUGCGUAGAUAUCUGGAGGAACAUCAGUGGCGAAGGCGGCUUCCUGGAUCAAGACUGACACUGAGGCUCGAAAGCGUGGGGAGCAAACAGGAUUAGAUACCCCANUANUC
rnacentral:rRNA from 1 species